rnacentral:rRNA from 1 species
ACGGCUCAGUAACACGUGGAUAACCUGCCCUUGGGUCCGGCAUAACCCCGGGAAACUGGGGAUAAUUCCGGAUAACGCACAUAUGCUGGAAUGCUUUAUGCGUAAAAUGGAUUCGUCUGCCCAAGGAUGGGUCUGCGGCCUAUCAGGUAGUAGUGGGUGUAAUGUACCUACUAGCCAACAACGGGUACGGGUUGUGAGAGCAAGAGCCCGGAGAUGGAUUCUGAGACAUGAAUCCAGGCCCUACGGGGCGCAGCAGGCGCGAAAACUUUACAAUGCGGGAAACCGUGAUAAGGGGACACCGAGUGCCAGCAUCAUAUGCUGGCUGUCCAGGUGUGUAAACUACACCUGUUAGCAAGGGCCGGGCAAGACCGGUGCCAGCCGCCGCGGUAACACCGGCGGCCCGAGUGGUGAUCGUGAUUAUUGGGUCUAAAGGGUCCGUAGCCGGUUUGGUCAGUCCUCCGGGAAAUCUGAUAGCUCAACUAUUAGGCUUUCGGGGGAUACUGCCAGGCUUGGAACCGGGAGAGGUAAGAGGCACUACAGGGGUAGGAGUGAAAUCUUGUAAUCCCUGUGGGACCACCUGUGGCGAAGGCGUCUUACCAGAACGGGUUCGACGGUGAGGGACGAAAGCUGGGGGCACGAACCGGAUUAGAUACCCGGGUAGUCCCAGCCGUAAACGAUGCUCGCUAGGUGUCAGGCAUGGCGCGACCGUGUCUGGUGCCGCAGGGAAGCCGUGAAGCGAGCCACCUGGGAAGUACGGCCGCAAGGCUGAAACUUAAAGGAAUUGGCGGGGGAGCAC